UACGUAGGGUGCGAGCGUUGCCCGGAUUUAUUGGGCGUAAAGGGCGCGUAGGCGGCCACGCACGUCCGUUGUGAAAUCGCCCGGCUCAACUGGGCGGGGUCAGCGGAUACGGUGUGGCUCGAGCAAGCUAGGGGGCAAUGGAAUUCCCGGUGUAGUGGUGGAAUGCGUAGAUAUCGGGAGGAACACCAGUGGCGAAGGCGGUUGCCUGGAGCUUUGCUGACGCUGAGGCGCGAAAGCGUGGG
rnacentral:rRNA from 1 species